UUUCUUCUCUUACUGUGAGAUUACAGUGGCUAUGCUGGAUAUGCUUAUGGGGUAGAGUAAAGGUUCUGUGAUAUGAAGAGAGAGGGCUUUCCAGUGUCCUCUGUGAAAUGGCUGGACAUAACACU
ensembl:snoRNA